GCUGUUGUCGAUCGAUGAUGUUCCUGUCACUGAUAGUGGAGCCUGUAACGUAAGUUUUUUUUUUUUUUUUUUUUUUGCUAAAUUUAAUGUUUUACUAAACUUGUUAAUUAGGCACACGUUAUUUGCUCGUGCAGUUCAGGCAUAUGCUGGUUUGGCAUUAAUGGCAUUUCAUACGCUCAAUUUUUCUACUAUUAUUAUUAUCAUUAUUAAUAUAGCCUUACUAUAAUAUAAUUUUUAUUCACUUUCUGCUGAAUGACAAGCUGUUUUCGAUUAUCCAGUUGAGCCAGUGAUUCAUAGCAGAAGCAGAGACGGUUUGUGCAACAGCAACAAGGUGAGAAUGAUGAGACACUUUAAGAAGUAGAAUUUUUUUUUUUUUUUUAAUUAAGCACUGUUAAGCAAAUUAUAUUAUUUGUGUAAUUUAUGAAUUGAUAUGUUCUCUGCACUUGUGUUAAUAUCUGUUUCUGUCUGUAACAGGUGCAGGUCCAAACCCAUCUGUCAAAAGACGCUUGUCCACUUGCUGUCCGCCCCACCAGCCCAACAAUUGUGCUGGAGAACCACAAGUCAUAGAAAAAGAGAAUGUCAUAAUCAACUGGAACAGCAUGAGGUGGUAGAGACAGAGAAGAAGUGCCCUUGAUGAGGAAACCCUGGCAGCCAUAUAUACGGUAAGUUAAUACUUAGUGAAAGGAAAAUUUACUAGAAACAUUAAGUUAAACAAAAUAACUGAUUUUUGUCUCAUAGUCAAGAAGAGAUUUCCAAAUGUGUCCAAAGAGGCUUUGAGGAUUUGAACUGGGGAAACUGAGACUUCUUGAAAGCAAAAAAGUUAUAUUUGUUUGAAUAUUGUAAUUUUUUGAACAUUGUAAAGUAUGUUCCUUGCUGAUUAUUAUUCAAAUGUUCAUGUGUUAUA